UGGGGAAUAUUGCACAAUGGGGGAAACCCUGAUGCAGCGACGCCGCGUGAGCGAAGAAGUAUUUCGGUAUGUAAAGCUCUAUCAGCAGGGAAGAAAAUGACGGUACCUGACUAAGAAGCCCCGGCUAACUACGUGCCAGCAGCCGCGGUAAUACGUAGGGGGCAAGCGUUAUCCGGAUUUACUGGGUGUAAAGGGAGCGUAGACGGCGUAUCAAGUCUGAUGUGAAAGGCAUGGGCUCAACCCGUGGACUGCAUUGGAAACUGGUAUGCUUGAGUGCCGGAGGGGUAAGCGGAAUUCCUAGUGUAGCGGUGAAAUGCGUAGAUAUUAGGAGGAACACCAGUGGCGAAGGCGGCUUACUGGACGGUAACUGACGUUGAGGCUCGAAAGCGUGGGGAGCAAACAGGAUUAGAUACCC
rnacentral:rRNA from 1 species